rnacentral:rRNA from 1 species
AUGAGACAACUCCAGACAUUAGAUAUUUCUGGUACAAGCAUAAUAAAGCUACCAAGGACCAUCAUCAAGCUUGUGAAGAUGCAACGCAUUCUCGCUAGAGACAUCGGAUCUGGAAACAGCUCUCUAUUUGAAGAUGCGAAUGAUCAGUCGCUCAUGAGUUUGCCUUUAUAUUCAGCAUGUUGUUGUGUGUCAUGUUGUGCACCUAGUUAUCUAAAAGUCAACUUUACCUUGACGAUGAUGCAGAACUUAACAGGCCUGAUAUAUGCACAGCGUUCUGUUGCAGCAUAUUACCUUAUUAUGCAGCAGAACGAAAUCCAGGUGGUGUUGCAGUGCCAAGAAGGAUUUGGAAACUGA